CACAACUCCUUCUCCAGUAGAUCAAUGACUACUUCGGUGCUGCUUCCCUUCCCUUCCUUGACCUCUGUCUCAAUUUCUGGCGAUAGACUGUCCACCAAUAUUCAUUACAAGCCUACCGACUCACACAGGGAUGUAAUGUACCAGCAGGGAGAUUAUAUCUGUGGAUAAAUACUUUCAAUCUUUCCCUGGUGACUCACCUGUGCCAGUUUCUGGGUUCCUUUGGGAGCAGCUUGUGCUGCCCUGUACCUACAAAGGGAGUGUCCCAGUCUCAGAUUUACUGGCAAUUUGAGAUGUUCAGCAUGAAUUUUUCCACAAGCUCAUCGCUGGGAAUGACGAUUUGACAGGACAAGACCCACGGUUCAGAAACAGAACAAAACAGUUCAAAGAUCAACUGGAACAGGGCAACUGGUUGGUUCUGAUCUCUGACCUCAGGAAGUCUGACCAGAACCAGCAUCAGUGUCACAUUUACAGGAGCACGAGUGUGAGCUAUUAUUGGGAGCAAACUGAUCUCGUUCAUCUCUCUGCAAGAGAUACAGAACUGAGGAUUCCUAGCAUUGGUGUCUCUGGAAUUCUGUGUGGAAAGUCUUGGUACAAUUUUAACCCAACCCUCCUAUUGGGAAAUUGACGGGAUUGUGAGUAACGCUGGUUGAAAGCGGUGGAGAGUAAUAUUGAGAUAAAAAAACAAAAAAACUGCGGAUGCUGGAAAUCCAAAACAAAAACAGAAUUACCUGGAAAAACUCAGCAGGUUCGGUGGAGAAGAAAAGAGUUGACGUUUCGAGUCCUCAUGACCCUUCAACAGAACUGAGUAAUUUACACCCAGGUCAAUAUCAGUGUUCCACCAGUCCCGUAGAUUUCCUGGUCCGCAAAUUAAUUAAAAAAUCCCCGCUCUAUUUCAA